AUACACCUGGCAGGAGAGAUACCUCAAUCGUGAGGGUGGUUUUUCCAGGACGAGGCGCACACAUUAUACUCCCAAUGUGCUAAACCCUGUGAUUUCCCCAAGUGUGGGAAUCUGGACUGCAUAAUUUGUAGUUAUGGGGGACUGUGUUCAUGCUGCCCCUG